rnacentral:lncRNA from 1 species
UCCAUCUUUGAAUUCUCCACAGAGUCAACAUGUAGGAGUUAGAUAGGCACUCCUAGAUUGAAUGAGUGAAUGAAUAAUGACCAUUAGGUAAUAUUUCUAGGAAUCAAGACCCAAGAAUAGGUUGAUAAACCUCAGUGCCUGCAACUUGCUUCCAGAAGUAACUGUACUAAGAGGCUCUCAAUCAAAAGGAGAAUGCCUUUUAGACUAGUUCUGUAGACUAGCUCUGUGAUUGUAAACCACCUUUUUUUUGUUUUGUUUUGUUUUCUUAUGGCCGCACCUGCAGCCUAUGAAAGUUCCCAGGCUAGGGGUUGGAUCGGAGCUGCAGCUGCUGACCUAUACCACAGCCACACCAACCCCAGAUCCAAGCCACAUCUGCAGUCUAUACCACAGCUCACCGCAACGCCAGUUCCUCAACCCACUGAGCAAGGCCAGGGAUCGAACCUGCAUCCUCAUGUGUACUAGUUGGGUUGUUACUGCUGAACCGUAACGGGAACUCCUUGUAAGCCAUCUUUUAAUACCAGAAGGAACUGUACAUUCACAGUGCUCAACAAACUUCGUUUAAAGAUUUUAGAUGUUCUAGCCAUAAAUUUUCUAAUUUUAAACUAACUAUCACUGACUGUAGUUCGGAAUUGUAUGCUCUGAGAUGCCCUUUUGUAUUAUACCAGUUGCUUACUACUUGACUAUAAUGGAGACCUUUUAGAACAGAAAUUCACAGUAGUCUGCAGAUUCUUUAUUCAUAGAUUUUUGAAUCUUAAAAAGUUUAGAGCCAGAGAAGAUAUAAAUGAUCAUCUAUUUCAAGGUCUCUGAAAAGAAGAGGGAGGUAGUCAAUUGAUUUGUGAAGGUCAUUAAGCUUUUUGACUCCCAUUUUCCUGUUCUUUAUGUUACAAUACACCGCCUCCCAUGGACCUAUUCUGUGGUUCAUUAAGAGUAAUUCUUGGAGCUCCCAUCAUGGUGAGCGGAAACAAAUUUAACUAGGUACCAUGAGGUUGCAAGUUCAAUCCCUGGCCUUACUCAGUGGGUUAAGGAUCCUGCAUUGCCAUGAGCUGUGAUGUAGGUCCCAGAUGCUGCUCGGAUCUCUAGUUGCUGUGGCUGUGGCGAAGGCCGGCUGCUGUAGCUCCAAUUAGACCCCUAGCCUGGAAACCUCCAUUUGCUGCGGGUGUGGCCCCCCCUCAAAAAAAAAAUUCUUGUUGAGGAAAGAAUUAUUUCCAUUUUUGGUAAAAUUACUAAGAUCAGGGUAAUGUGUAAAAAUAUAAGCAGGACUUAAGCAGGACAUUUCACAAGGUAUUUUAUAUCUUUGUGUAUAUAUAUAUGGCAAUAUAAACAGGAUGUUGGAACUGUUACUGUUUUUUAGUGAUUUUAUUUUUUGGUCUUGUGAAAAAUACUAUAGAUACAUAAAUAUGGAUAAAACAUAAAUGUACAGCUUAAUAAAUUGUUAUAAGCAGACACAUAUGUAACUACCAACUAGAUCAAGAAAUGAAACAUUGCCAGUUCUAAAUUAGAGCUAUUGUGAAUAAAGGCUAGGCCUUUUAUUUUCAUUCAUCCCAGUGGUAUGGUAUAGAAUCAAAUUUCUUUCUUUUCCACUUUAACUUGUCUCAGCACAGUUAGUGAAAAGACUCUGCCUUCCCAGUGCUCUGCAGUGCUGUCUUUUGCAUAAAUUAAUUCUUUUUAUGUGGGUCUUCAGCAGAAAUACAUCCAUUGCUGUUGAAAAUGGACCUAUACUUUAUGACCCAGCAGUUUUGCUCCUAGGAUCAUCAUGUGUGUGUGUAUCUUCAACUUUAGUACAUAAUGCAUAGAGCCUUCCAAAUUGGUUGUACCAGUUUGCAUUCUGACCAGUUGUAUAUGAGAUUUUCCAUUGAUCUACACCCUCACCAAAUGUGGCAUUGAUGGGGUUUUAAAAUUUUGCCAGUCUGGGAGUUCCCAUAGAGGCUCAGUGGAAGCAAAUCUGACUAGUAGCCAUGAGGACACAGAUUCUAUCCCAGGCCUCGCUCAGUGGGUUAAGGAUCAGGCGUUGCCAUGGUGUAGGUUGCAGACACCGCUUGGAUCCUUUGGUUGCUGUGGCUGUGGCUGUGGCAUAGGCCAGGGCCACAGCUCUGAUUCGACCCUUAGCCUGGGAACCUCCGUUUGCCAUAGGUAUGGCCCUAAAAAGACAAAAAAAAAAAAGUUACCAGUCUGAUUUGUGUAUAUCUCAUGAUAAUUUUGAUUAGCAUUUACCUGGUUACUAGUGAGACGGAACAACUUUUCAUAUGUUUAUUAGUUAUUUGGCUUUCCUUUUGUGAUGCACCUAUUCAUAUUCAAAUCUCUUGCCUACUGUUUUUUGUUUGUUUGUUUGUUUUUUAAUGUUUGUGGUGUUGCGUACCCUGGAAUAAUAUUCAUUGAUUAUAUAUGAUGAAAAUAUUUUUGCCACUCUUUUCAUGCCCUUACUAAAGCUCUCUGGCAAGCAGAAGUUUUUUAUUUUAACAUAGUCACAUUUAGCACUUUUUCCCUUCAUGAUUAGUGCUUUUUGCAUCCUCUUUAAGAAAUCUCUUCCUACUCUAAUGCAGUGAAAAUAUUCUCUGACAUUAAUUUCUAAAAUUUUUAUUGUUUUGCUUUCCACAUUUAUGUCUACAACUCACCUGCAUUGGGUUUUGUGUAUAGUAUAGUAUAGAAUCAAUUUUCUUUCUUUUCCACAUUAACUUCCAUUUGUCUCAGCACUGUUAGUGAAGAGUAUGCCUUCCUCGGUGCUCUGCAGUAUAGUCUUUUGAAUAAAUGAAGUCCCUUUAUGUGGGUCUUUUUUGGUGGCUCUCUUCUGUCCAAAUGAUCUAUUUCUCUCUUCUGACAGUACAACACUGACAGGUAUUAGAUUUUUACAAUAAAGUUUUAUAUAUGGUAAAACACAUCUUUCCUUCCUGAUUGUCUUUAUCUAAAAGCUCGUUGGUUUCUAAGCAUGACGGAAUAACAGAGAAAAGAGAGAAAGGAAGGGAGGGAGGCAGGCAUAGAUCCCCCACAAUUCUGCCAUCUCCCUCCCACAAUCAGGAAGGCUUUAAACAGGUUUAUGAAAGUGGAUAUUUCUGGCUUAUAUAGUAUUAUUUCAGAAGUCUUCGGUUCAGCGUUCUUCAAUUUUAGAGUCUAAAAAUUUUAGCUCAACCGAGUAAGUAUUUACUAACCAUCUACUCAGUACUAACCUUGUAGUAGGUGUUAGGAGGGGUUCAGAAGGGAGAGUCUAAGACAAAAUCAAAAUAGUUAGAGCUCACUUAUUCAUUUUUUUUAUUUUUAAGUUUCAAAACAUGAGUGUUAAAGAGAGUACUGAAUUUCAAAUGUUGCUAUAAUUUCUCCAGAGAAGCGACAACUAAAUUCCAUCUAAGUACCUUAAACCUAACAGAAGUUAACCCUUAAUCCAAUC